UCAGUGACCAUACACUCCCCACCCAGUGCUAACCUCUUUCCUCCCCACGUCGAUGGGGGACAGGGGCGGCGUCUCCCCGGGCAUCUCGGGCACCGUCUGCGGCUCCUCCUUCAGGGCCUGCAGGCGCGGGUGCUGCACGGGGAGCUGCUGGGGCAGGUGGUGCGGCGCUUGCGGGGGCUGCUGCGGCUGCUGCUGCUGCUGCUGCUGCUGGGGCUGCGCGGGAAAGGCCAGGCCGGCCGCGCCGUAGGAGGGCGCCCCGCCGCCGCUGCUCAGCGCGCCCGGGUUGAAGUUGCUGAGCAGGUCCGAGUUCUUGGCCCGGAGGUGCGGCUUCAGGCUGCCCACCGGGUCGGCCAGGUUCAGGGUCAUGCUCUGCUUCAGGAUCUUGGGGUUACUGUAGCCGUAGGCGCCGCUCUCGGACUGCAGGAACGAGGCGUUGAGGGCAUCGUCGUAGAAGGUCGUUUCCAUCUUUGCAGUCAUAGAACAGUCCGUCACUUCGCGCGGGGUUACUUUGGGCUGCGCGCAGAAGUUUCGGGGCCGCAACAGCGCGCUGGCGAGCGGGGGACCCCCGCGCCUCCCGGGUGGGGGGGGCGGCCCUGGGCUAGAGGAAAGUUUCUGGAGGGGCGCGCGCUCCCGCCGGCGGUCCUCCCCCCGCGCCCCGCUCACCGGCUCCGGCCGCCGCCGCGCUCCUCCUGGGUCAGCUGGCGCGCGCGCUGCCCGCCUCGGGGAAAAGUCGCGGUCACCCACGGGGCGCGCUCGGGGCGCUCUCGGGGCGCGGCGGCUCCCGGGGGCCCGCGGGCCCGCCCCCGCGGCGACAGGGGGAGGGGGCGCCGGGCAGCCGCGGCUCGCGCUCGCCCAAGUUCAGCCACCGGGGCGAGGGGCGCCGAGCGCACGUCCCUCCGCGGUCUCCUCGCUCCGCCGCCGCCUCUCUCGUCCCGGCCGCCGCCGCCGCCGCCGCCGCCGCCGCCGCCGCAGCCUCAGGCGCGGCAGAGCUUUGCAAAAGUUCGCUCCGGGACCCGGGCCACUCGUCCCCUGUGCUCCCGGCCAGGAAAGUUCUGAGGAAAAUGCAAAACGGAAAGCGGAUUUUGCAGCCCGGACUCUCCGGCCGUCUCGCCUGCCCGCGGCCGCCCGCCUCCCCGAGUCCGCGCUCCUCCACUCCCACCUCGCCGCCUCGGCCACACUCAGUGCAACUCUGAGCCCUUAUCCAGCCGGAGCUCAACACUUAUCUGCUACCAGUCAACCCCUAAAAAUAGCCCAUGAUGUCACCCCAAGGCCUUCCCAUUGGCUCGCGUCGCUCUCCAGGGGGCGGGCCCGCCCGUCGCCAUGGAGACCCCACCCUAGAAGAUUCUUCUCCGGCCCCGCGGAGGCUCACGGGAUGAGGUAAUGCUCCGCUGCCCUCCUACAGUUGGGCCCUUCUUUCUCCUCCUCCCCCUCCCCCUCCCUGUCUCAAAUAGGACUACCUCUCGUCAUGUGACACCAAUUGUCU
rnacentral:lncRNA from 12 species